UACAAUUCUUCAUUUUCCCCAAACACACCAUGCAAUGCAAAGAUGCUACUUUUUGUCUGCAAUGAUUCUACCUAUUGUUAGUUCACUGCAUCCUCAGAGUCAGUGCACAGGCAGGAGAGACUGAGAUUAUUUAGAUUCUCAUAGUACAGCAUAUAAUGAGGAAGACAGGCUAGGAUGCCAUGGGUGCCACAUUAGUGCCUUCUUUAAGGUUCUGAUAUACAAGCAGCCCUGCCCCAGUUGGUUUGUAUUUAAAAGAAGAUCAUUUAUUAAGGUGCUGAUAUACAAACUCUGUCCCACCCGAGUUGGCUUGUGUUUAAAAGAGGAUCCUGACAAGUCUACCUAAAGAAGAUGAAAGAGAUAUUGGGGGCAGGGGACAAUGGACUAGCUAAUGUGCAGAAAUAAACUUUACAGCUCUAGGCCAGGGCCACCAUAAAACUCUUCCACACUGUGCAGCACACAUUAUGACGGAAACAACAUGCCUUGGCUGGUGGCUUUGCUCCGUGUUCCUCAAGAGAGCUCUGGGUUGCAAACUUGCCUGCUCCCUGGCUGUCUCAUCUUUUACAUGUGAGGACCACAAUUCCUGACCUUUGCAGUGGCUGUAAACUUUGAGACAGGAAGGCAGGAUCUGCAGCUUGCCAGGGGCCUCGGAGGACUCUGGUGGCCCAUGCAGCUCUAUGGGCUUGGAACUUGAGCUCAUUGAGGAUGUCACCUACAGAUAAACAAGUGACACGUCUUGAACACAUUGCAAACAACUUUUAAAGGUCAUCUCAUCCAUGCCUCUGUCUCUUCUUUGGAAGACUUCAAAAUUAUUUCAGAGUGAAAAUGUCUCCUGUUUUCAAAAAUUGCCAAAUAUAAAUUAUAUGAAUGAGUUUGUUUAAACAACUUAGAGGACCAAAAUAAAAAAUUUUCUUAAGUCUAAUCAGUCGUGCUUCAGGAACAUAGGAUGUUUCCUCUUGUUCUGCCUUUUGGAAUGGUGAAGGGUAUUUCACUGACAUCUUGAAUCAUUUAGAGGGACUUAGGAUUCAAUUUAAUACAAUAAAUAUUUACUGAGCUUCUACGUAUCUGAUACUGAAAUGGGGCCGAGAGGGUCACAAAGUUGAUGAUCUGGGCUUCUUUCUCAUCUCAAGAAGCAUAAUUCCCACAUCACUCAUGAUGCAGAGUGUGGUAAAUGCCACAUAGUAAGGCCACAAGGAGAGGGUUUGGAGCCAUUGAUGUUACCUAGAAUCAAAUAAUUCUAUGGUGGAGACAAAGAUACUCAGGAGAGCACCUGCAUCUCAUCUGGACCAAAAGGAAUGGACACAACUGUCUGGAUGAGCUGUGGCACAGGCAUUCUGCCAAGAAGAGGAAGCUGGCAGAAGAGGCCUUGGUAAGUCUGAAUUCUUGCCUCAGUUCUGGUACUGAGUUCUCCCUGCACAUUACAUUCCUACUGUGAACCAUUCACUCCUCCCUUCCUCCAUUAAUUUAUCUAAUUGAUAUCUAUUAAACAAAUGCCUACCAUGUUCUUGACCCUGAGCCACAUGUGAGAGAUUCACCAGGCAACAAGACAGAUGGGAGGAGCCCCACUGCUAUGGUCAAAUGUUUGUGUUUUCCCAAAAUUCGUAUGUUGAAACCUAACUCCCAAAAUGAUGGUGUUAGAAAGUGGGACCACUGGGAGAUGAUUAGGUCAUGAGGGAUUAACAUCAUUAUAGAAGAGACCCCAAAAUGUUAGCUGGUCCUUUCACCACAUGAAGACACAGCUAGAAGACACCACCUAUUAACCAAAAAGUGGGCGUCAGCAGACACCAAAUCUGUUGGCACUUUGUUCAUGGACUCCCUAGGCUCCAGUACUGUCAGAAAUAAAUGUCUGUUGUUUAUAAGCCACCUAGUUUAUGGUAUUUUGUUAUAGCAAGCCAAAUGGACUAAGACACCCCACCCUUGUGAAGGCGACAGAGGACUAGAAAUAAUGAACAAAUCUGCACUGAGCAUAACCCAUGAUGCAUAGUACUGCAGAACAGUGCUGUACAGUGCUCUUCAGGGCCUCACAGGAGGUGCAGAUGGGUGCCGUUGACAACACAGAGAGAAGAGAGAACCUAAACAAUGAAACAAGUCCCCUGCCCACGUGCUGUCAGACACUGGAGAAAAGAACAAAACCAAAGAAAAGCCACUGAGCAAACACAAUGGCCUUGUCUUCUACCUUUCUUGUGGCACAAUGCAGGACUGGACAGCACUGUCCUCCCCAUCCCAUCUCCUUCCCUCCCUCUACUCUCACCCCCCUCCACCAGCCUUCCUGCUCCCAAAGCACGUUACUGACUAGCAGCUUGCCAGUCCAGAUUGUAGUUUUAAUCCACCAACUAGUAUUGCAGCUCAUAGAAUGGCUUUGGAUUUAUGAAACAGGCUGAGGGGAAAUAAAGUACCCUAGUUUGUAGAUAAUAAAAGCUAAGAGUGGUGCAUCCAGGGAGAGAGGUGGGGUGCCAGGGGUUCUUAGGAAGGUAGUGGUACCACCUACUGCCAGAGUCUCUUUUGAAUUGGCUUUAUCCAGGAGUCCCAAAAGCCCUUUAAACUACUUCAUGGUAGCCUUUGACAGAGAACUCUUUGGCAGUGACUUGGAGAGGGUUUAUGAAGACAGUGCUCAGGCUUUGGUCAUGACACAGGCAGAUUGGGGAUGGAGUGGUACAUGUUUGAUUACAGUGUGUGUUGAGGGGCAAGGGGGCAGGUCUUGGUACAAUGACAACUAGCACGAGACCUUGAACUCAACAUGGAUUUUAAAAGUGUUUGUUUAAUGCAUGAAUAAAACAAUGCUCAUGAUAUUUUGUGGUCUUUAGUGACCAAUCAUAGUAGACGUCUUAGAAUUACCAAGCCCUAAGGAAUACUAAAACCCAGUCUAAUAAACUCAGUAAAACCAAGAGUGGACUCUAAUGUAAACUGUGGACUUUUGGAUGUACCUCUCUGGUGGGGAAUGUUGAUAAUGGAGGAGGCUAGGCUUGUGUGGGGGUGGCGAACACAUGGAAAAUCUCUGUAUCUUUUGCUUAUUUUUCUGUGAACCUAAAACUGAUCUAAAAAAAAGUAUAUAAAAAAUUCAUAGCCACAUAAAUUGGCAGUCAGAUCUGGUGAUUCAGCUGAACCUUUAUCUAAGCAUAUAGAAAAGAACACAUAUUUUCUGAUGUUUGAAAAAAUUGCUGUUUUACCUUGAAACUAAUAAAACAAAAUUGGCACAA